AGAGUUAAGAAUUUUAAUCUACUUGUCCAGGCUUUCCUCGUCAGCAAAGGUGAGAGAUACAAAGUCCCAGAGCAGAGACGUGUCAUGGGGGCGAGCAGUGGUGUGGGGACAACAGAGCCAGUGGUCACCUGGAGCUGGGUAGGGUAAACGCUGCCACUUCGUACCCAGAGCGGCUCGGUACCGGGGGUCCCUGGGAUCUGGGAGGGAGGGGUGUCCUCACCUCACAGCUGGAGAAGUGCCAGUCCCAGGCCAGUUCCUUGUCCAUGGAGCAGCACAGCCCUCCUUACCGCCUGCAAAUCGUCUUUCAGUCCAAGGCUCUGUUCACAGUCCGAGUCAUUUGCAAAUUUAAAGAAGACACAGGAAAACAGAUGAAAGCCAAUCAGGAACUAACCACUGAUCAUUAAGAUCACACUCAGUAACCCUUCAUUUAGCUAACCUGUUCUUUGAAGAAACUGCCUGCACAUCCAAAAUGUGUUCACUCUGUGGACAGAUAACUCUGAAAGUAGAACCUGGUCUCUACGUGCCACUAAGACAUUAAUCUUUAAAUGUUACACAGAUGACUGAGGAAAGAGGCCAUUUCUUACAGGAGGGGGAAAAGAGGAAGGGACUUUUUUUAGCUAUGCUGCUAGGAGAGCCAAUUCCCAUCUGUGGGUUUGUUGCAUUGUUUCGUAAGUAACAGCGCUGGUUUUGCACGGGAGCAGCUCUCAGAAACCAUAACGGUUAAUGCAGAAUGAAAUGUGUUCUAGGAGAGAGGUUUUCUUUGCAAUUUUUGCGGUCAGUGAAGCAGGACGCAUCUCAGAAAGACUUUCUCCCUAAUGCCCUCUGAUUCUCCAGCAAAGGCAUGGUCUGGUUUGUGGUCCCUGCACUGAAUUUAGUUUAAUUCUCUGCACCAUAGACCAUUUCUGCGGUAUUUUUGUCUUCAAAAACUGUUGCCAUUGUGGAAUGUAAGCCAGAAAACAUACAUUACAUUGUUCGGGCUGCCAGAUCAGAUCAGACAGGAUCAAGCAGGGCAGCUGAGCCAUCGUGAGCCAUCGUUACAGCAAAGCCACUGUGCCCCCGCUCCCCAGGCCACGGCUGGAUCCACUCUCGCUGUCAGGCAGAGCGACGCAGGAUGGCAGGAGCCCCGGGAGCGCUGGUGGCCAGCAGCUCCACAAACAAAGCUGCCUGCUGCCACCGGGGACCUGCACCAUCAUCCCGUGCAAGUGGCCCCAGCUGCACUCUGUGCGCGGUGAUUCGGAUGGAUUGGCAGGAGCGGGAGAUGCUGCACUAGGUCGUGUGCUGUUUUAUAAAUUUUAAUCCGC
rnacentral:lncRNA from 1 species